rnacentral:ncRNA from 1 species
UUAUUGGAGAGUUUGAUCCUGGCUCAGGACGAACGCUGGCGGCGUGCCUAAUACAUGCAAGUCGAGCGAGUCCCUUCGGGGGCUAGCGGCGGACGGGUGAGUAACACGUAGGCAACCUGCCCGUAAGCUCGGGAUAACAUGGGGAAACUCAUGCUAAUACCGGAUAGGGUCUCCUCUCGCAUGAGAGGAGACGGAAAGGUGGCGCAAGCUACCACUUACGGAUGGGCCUGCGGCGCAUUAGCUAGUUGGUGGGGUAACGGCCUACCAAGGCGACGAUGCGUAGCCGACCUGAGAGGGUGACCGGCCACACUGGGACUGAGACACGGCCCAGACUCCUACGGGAGGCAGCAGUAGGGAAUUUUCCACAAUGGACGAAAGUCUGAUGGAGCAACGCCGCGUGAACGAUGAAGG